rnacentral:rRNA from 1 species
GCCUACGGGGGGCAGCAGUAGGGAAUUUUCGUCAAUGGGCGCAAGCCUGAACGAGCAAUGCCGCGUGAACGAGGAAGGUCUUCGGAUCGUAAAGUUCUGUUGCAGGGGAAAAAGAGCGGAGAGAGGAAAUGGUCUCCGAUUGAUAUUACCCUUCGAGGAAGUCACGGCUAACUACGUGCCAGCAGCCGCGGUAAUACGUAGGUGGCGAGCGUUAUCCGGAAUGAUUGGGCGCAAAGGGUGCGUAGGCGGCCUGCUAAGUCUGGAGUGAAAGGUACCGGCUCAACCGGUACAGGCUCUGGAAACUG